rnacentral:rRNA from 1 species
AGGGAAUCUUCCGCAAUGGGCGAAAGCCUGACGGAGCAACGCCGCGUGAGUGAUGAAGGUUUUCGGAUCGUAAAGCUCUGUUGCCAGGGAAGAACGUCUUCUGGAGUAACUGCCAGGAGAGUGACGGUACCUGAGAAGAAAGCCCCGGCUAACUACGUGCCAGCAGCCGCGGUAAUACGUAGGGGGCAAGCGUUGUCCGGAAUUAUUGGGCGUAAAGCGCGCGCAGGCGGCUGUUUAAGUCUGGUGUAUAAUCCUGGGGGUCAACUCCGGGUCGCACUGGAAACUGGACGGCUUGAGUGCAGAAGAGGAGAGUGGAAUUCCACGUGUAGCGGUGAAAUGCGUAGAGAUGUGGAGGAACACCAGUGGCGAAGGCGACUCUCUGGGCUGUAACUGACGCUGAGGCAUGAAAGCGUGGGGAGCAAAC